rnacentral:misc_RNA from 1 species
CAGAGACUCAGACGAUUUUCCAGAAACAACAGCAGGAGAUUCGGCAGUUAAAACAGCAGUUGGCAGCUUUAAAGUCAGAUCAUGCAAGAAGUGCAGGACAGAGUAGCCUGGACGGCUUGAAGAAUGGUCUGGGACAGAUGCUCUUUAAGGUUACAGGAAAUGCAGGCAGAAAUAGUGCUGGAAAACGCAGCGAAGCGAUGCGGCAGUGGGAUGCAGACAGCU